UACGUAGGGUGCGAGCGUUAAUCGGAAUUACUGGGCGUAAAGCGUGCGCAGGCGGUUUUGUAAGCCAGAUGUGAAAUCCCCGGGCUCAACCUGGGAAUUGCAUUUGAGACUGCGUAGCUAGGGUGCGGAAGAGGGAAGCGGAAUUUCCGGUGUAGAGGUGAAAUUCGUAGAUAUCGGGAGGAACACCAGUGGCGAAGGCGGCGAUCUGGGCAGACACUGACGCUGAGGUGCGAAAGCGUGGGGAGCAAACAGG
rnacentral:rRNA from 1 species